ensembl:lncRNA
CCGUGGACACCGUUGUCAAGAGAACAACAACGCCCGACAACCCACCACUACUGAAGAUCAAUGACUGGACUACGAACCACGUUGGACCAUGGUGUGUAAGGGCAUAAUAUCUGACCAGGAAGAUCAGUUGGUUAUCCUACGUACAGAAUGAGUUCGCAUCUUGUGUCAUGGUUUUAUGAUUUUUGGUCAUCAGUAUUCCACAUCACAACAUCAUGCAGUGUACUGGGAGUUAAAGAGCAAAUGCUUUAGUUCCGGGUACCUGUCUGGAAGAGAAGAAGAACUACGUUCCGCAAGAGCCUUUUUGAGUACUGUUAUCAUUCCUGCUCAGGGGAACAGAUAUAAGGACGCAGGUCAUCUGACUCGUCCCUCUUCUUGUCUUGCCAUGUUCCCUGCCAGAUCAGCUCGCUACUGCUGCUCCCGACUGCACGCAAGGCUUCAGUAUUAGCGUAAGGCCUUUGGCUGUUGGACAAUCUUUCUCUCAAUUAUUGUUGUUUUAUAUUGUAUUAUAGUGUGUUAUCUUACAUUCCGAUACUAUAUUUAGUAAAUUAGUUUGUUU